rnacentral:rRNA from 1 species
AUUGAACGCUGGCGGCAGGCUUAACACAUGCAGGUCGAGCGGAGAUGAGGUGCUUGCACCUUAUCUUAGCGGCGGACGGGUGAGUAAUGCUUAGGAAUCUGCCUAUUAGUGGGGGACAACAUUCCGAAAGGAAUGCUAAUACCGCAUACGUCCUACGGGAGAAAGCAGGGGAUCUUCGGACCUUGCGCUAAUAGAUGAGCCUAAGUCGGAUUAGCUAGUUGGUGGGGUAAAGGCCUACCAAGGCGACGAUCUGUAGCGGGUCUGAGAGGAUGAUCCGCCACACUGGGACUGAGACACGGCCCAGACUCCUACGGGAGGCAGCAGUGGGGAAUAUUGGACAAUGGGGGAACCCUGAUCCAGCCAUGCCGCGUGUGUGAAGAAGGCCUUAUGGUUGUAAAGCACUUUAAGCGAGGAGGAGGCUACUGAGACUAAUACUCUUGGAUAGUGGACGUUACUCGCAGAAUAAGCACCGGCUAACUCUGUGCCAGCCGCCGCCGUAAAAC